rfam:Echinostoma caproni strain Egypt genome assembly, scaffold: ECPE_scaffold0003323
GCACUGCUGACGAGUCCCAAACAGGGCGAAACAGCUGUUCAGUGC